rnacentral:rRNA from 12 species
AUUAAUUUGAGAGUUUGAUCCUGGCUCAGGACGAACGCUGGCGGCGUGCCUAAUACAUGCAAGUCGAACGAACUCUGGUAUUGAUUGGUGCUUGCAUCAUGAUUUACAUUUGAGUGAGUGGCGAACUGGUGAGUAACACGUGGGAAACCUGCCCAGAAGCGGGGGAUAACACCUGGAAACAGAUGCUAAUACCGCAUAACAACUUGGACCGCAUGGUCCGAGUUUGAAAGAUGGCUUCGGCUAUCACUUUUGGAUGGUCCCGCGGCGUAUUAGCUAGAUGGUGGGGUAACGGCUCACCAUGGCAAUGAUACGUAGCCGACCUGAGAGGGUAAUCGGCCACAUUGGGACUGAGACACGGCCCAAACUCCUACGGGAGGCAGCAGUAGGGAAUCUUCCACAAUGGACGAAAGUCUGAUGGAGCAACGCCGCGUGAGUGAAGAAGGGUUUCGGCUCGUAAAACUCUGUUGUUAAAGAAGAACAUAUCUGAGAGUAACUGUUCAGGUAUUGACGGUAUUUAACCAGAAAGCCACGGCUAACUACGUGCCAGCAGCCGCGGUAAUACGUAGGUGGCAAGCGUUGUCCGGAUUUAUUGGGCGUAAAGCGAGCGCAGGCGGUUUUUUAAGUCUGAUGUGAAAGCCUUCGGCUCAACCGAAGAAGUGCAUCGGAAACUGGGAAACUUGAGUGCAGAAGAGGACAGUGGAACUCCAUGUGUAGCGGUGAAAUGCGUAGAUAUAUGGAAGAACACCAGUGGCGAAGGCGGCUGUCUGGUCUGUAACUGACGCUGAGGCUCGAAAGUAUGGGUAGCAAACAGGAUUAGAUACCCUGGUAGUCCAUACCGUAAACGAUGAAUGCUAAGUGUUGGAGGGUUUCCGCCCUUCAGUGCUGCAGCUAACGCAUUAAGCAUUCCGCCUGGGGAGUACGGCCGCAAGGCUGAAACUCAAAGGAAUUGACGGGGGCCCGCACAAGCGGUGGAGCAUGUGGUUUAAUUCGAAGCUACGCGAAGAACCUUACCAGGUCUUGACAUACUAUGCAAAUCUAAGAGAUUAGACGUUCCCUUCGGGGACAUGGAUACAGGUGGUGCAUGGUUGUCGUCAGCUCGUGUCGUGAGAUGUUGGGUUAAGUCCCGCAACGAGCGCAACCCUUAUUAUCAGUUGCCAGCAUUAAGUUGGGCACUCUGGUGAGACUGCCGGUGACAAACCGGAGGAAGGUGGGGAUGACGUCAAAUCAUCAUGCCCCUUAUGACCUGGGCUACACACGUGCUACAAUGGAUGGUACAACGAGUUGCGAACUCGCGAGAGUAAGCUAAUCUCUUAAAGCCAUUCUCAGUUCGGAUUGUAGGCUGCAACUCGCCUACAUGAAGUCGGAAUCGCUAGUAAUCGCGGAUCAGCAUGCCGCGGUGAAUACGUUCCCGGGCCUUGUACACACCGCCCGUCACACCAUGAGAGUUUGUAACACCCAAAGUCGGUGGGGUAACCUUUUAGGAACCAGCCGCCUAAGGUGGGACAGAUGAUUAGGGUGAAGUCGUAACAAGGUAGCCGUAGGAGAACCUGCGGCUGGAUCACCUCCUUUCU